rnacentral:tRNA from 1 species
GGGUAGUGGCAUAGUAGUUUGAGUGUUGGGCUACAACUCUGGAGAUCAGGGUUCGAUUCCCAGCUCGGCCA